UUAACUCAGAUUUGUAUGCAGUUCGAACGUUUGCCUACGUUUGCCGCUAGGGGCGCUGUUGCAUACAAAUUUAAGUUA
rnacentral:pre_miRNA from 1 species